rnacentral:rRNA from 1 species
UAGUCUACGCCGUAAACGAUGAUUACUAGUUGUUUGCAAUACAUCGUAAGCGACAAAGCGAAAGCAUUAAGUAAUCCACCUGGGGAGUACGUUGGCAACAAUGAAACUCAAAGGAAUUGACGGGGGCCCGCACAAGCGGAGGAACAUGUGGUUUAAUUCGAUGAUACGCGAGGAACCUUACCUGGACUUAAAUGGGGAAUGACAGGCUUAGAGAUAGGCUUUUCUUCGGACACUCUUCAAGGUGCUGCAUGGUUGUCGUCAGCUCGUGCCGUGAGGUGUCGGGUUAAGUCCCAUAACGAGCGCAACCCACGUUGUUAGUUACCAGCACAUAAUGGUGGGCACUCUAACAAGACUGCCGGUGUAAACCGCGAGGAAGGUGUGGAUGACGUCAAAUCAGCACGGCCCUUACGUCCAGGGCUACACACGUGUUACAAUGGCCGGUACAGAGGGCAGCUACUAUGUGAAUAGAUGCGAAUCUCCAAAACCGGUCUCAGUUCGGAUCGAAGUCUGCAACCCG